GACGAACGCUGGCGGCGUGCCUAACACAUGCAAGUCGAACGGAACUUCUUUAAAGGAUUUCUUCGGAAUGAAUUUGAUUAAGUUUAGUGGCGGACGGGUGAGUAACGCGUGAGUAACCUGCCUCUGAGAGGGGAAUAACAUUCUGAAAAGAUGCUAAUACCGCAUAAUAUAUAUUUAUCGCAUGGUAGAUAUAUCAAAGAUUUAUCGCUUAGAGAUGGACUCGCGUCCGAUUAGUUAGUUGGUGAGGUAACGGCUCACCAAGACCGCGAUCGGUAGCCGGACUGAGAGGUUGAACGGCCACAUUGGGACUGAGACACGGCCCAGACUCCUACGGGAGGCAGCAGUGGGGGAUAUUGCGCAAUGGGGAACCCUGACGCAGCAACGCCGCGUGAACGGAUGAAGGUCUUCGGAUUGUAAACUUC
rnacentral:rRNA from 1 species